AGGCAGCAGUGGGGAAUAUUGGACAAUGGGCGCAAGCCUGAUCCAGCCAUACCGCGUGGGUGAAGAAGGCCUUCGGGUUGUAAAGCCCUUUUGUUGGGAAAGAAAUCCAGCUGGCUAAUACCCGGUUGGGAUGACGGUACCCAAAGAAUAAGCACCGGCUAACUUCGUGCCAGCAGCCGCGGUAAUACGAAGGGUGCAAGCGUUACUCGGAAUUACUGGGCGUAAAGCGUGCGUAGGUGGUCGUUUAAGUCCGUUGUGAAAGCCCUGGGCUCAACCUGGGAACUGCAGUGGAUACUGGGCGACUAGAAUGUGGUAGAGGGUAGCGGAAUUCCUGGUGUAGCAGUGAAAUGCGUAGAGAUCAGGAGGAACAUCCAUGGCGAAGGCAGCUACCUGGACCAACAUUGACACUGAGGCACGAAAGCGUGGGGAGCAAACAGGAUUAGAUACCCUGGUAGUCCACGCCCUAAACGAUGCGAACUGGAUGUUGGGUGCAAUUUGGCACGCAGUAUCGAAGCUAACGCGUUAAGUUCGCCGCCUGGGGAGUACGGUCGCAAGACUGAAACUCAAAGGAAUUGA
rnacentral:rRNA from 1 species